AUGAACGCUAGCUACAGGCUUAACACAUGCAAGUCGAGGGGCAGCAUGGUCUUAGCUUGCUAAGGCCGAUGGCGACCGGCGCACGGGUGAGUAACACGUAUCCAACCUGCCGUCUACUCUUGGACAGCCUUCUGAAAGGAAGAUUAAUACAAGAUGGCAUCAUGAGUCCGCAUGUUCACAUGAUUAAAGGUAUUCCGGUAGACGAUGGGGAUGCGUUCCAUUAGAUAGUAGGCGGGGUAACGGCCCACCUAGUCUUCGAUGGAUAGGGGUUCUGAGAGGAAGGUCCCCCACAUUGGAACUGAGACACGGUCCAAACUCCUACGGGAGGCAGCAGUGAGGAAUAUUGGUCAAUGGGCGAGAGCCUGAACCAGCCAAGUAGCGUGAAGGAUGACUGCCCUAUGGGUUGUAAACUUCUUUUAUAAAGGAAUAAAGUCGGGUAUGGAUACCCGUUUGCAUGUACUUUAUGAAUAAGGAUCGGCUAACUCCGUGCCAGCAGCCGCGGUAAUACGGAGGAUCCGAGCGUUAUCCGGAUUUAUUGGGUUUAAAGGGAGCGUAGAUGGAUGUUUAAGUCAGUUGUGAAAGUUUGCGGCUCAACCGUAAAAUUGCAGUUGAUACUGGAUAUCUUGAGUGCAGUUGAGGCAGGCGGAAUUCGUGGUGUAGCGGUGAAAUGCUUUGAUAUCACGAAGAACUCCGAUUGCGAAGGCAGCCUGCUAAGCUGCAACUGACAUUGAGGCUCGAAAGUGUGGGUAUCAAACAGGAUUAGAUACCCUGGUAGUCCACACGGUAAACGAUGAAUACUCGCUGUUUGCGAUAUACUGCAAGCGGCCAAGCGAAAGCGUUAAGUAUUCCACCUGGGGAGUACGCCGGCAACGGUGAAACUCAAAGGAAUUGACGGGGGCCCGCACAAGCGGAGGAACAUGUGGUUUAAUUCGAUGAUACGCGAGGAACCUUACCCGGGCUUAAAUUGCAGAUGAAUUACGGUGAAAGCCGUAAGCCGCAAGGCAUCUGUGAAGGUGCUGCAUGGUUGUCGUCAGCUCGUGCCGUGAGGUGUCGGCUUAAGUGCCAUAACGAGCGCAACCCUUGUUGUCAGUUACUAACAGGUUCCGCUGAGGACUCUGACAAGACUGCCAUCGUAAGAUGUGAGGAAGGUGGGGAUGACGUCAAAUCAGCACGGCCCUUACGUCCGGGGCUACACACGUGUUACAAUGGGGGGUACAGAGGGCCGCUACCACGCGAGUGGAUGCCAAUCCCCAAAACCUCUCUCAGUUCGGACUGGAGUCUGCAACCCGACUCCACGAAGCUGGAUUCGCUAGUAAUCGCGCAUCAGCCACGGCGCGGUGAAUACGUUCCCGGGCCUUGUACACACCGCCCGUCAAGCCAUGGGAGCCGGGGGUACCUGAAGUGCGUAACCGCGAGGAGCGCCCUAGGGUAAAACUGGUGACUGGGGCU
rnacentral:rRNA from 1 species